UACGUAGGGUGCAAGCGUUAAUCGGAAUUACUGGGCGUAAAGCGUGCGCAGGCGGUUAUGCAAGACAGAUGUGAAAUCCCCGGGCUCAACCUGGGAACUGCAUUUGUGACUGCAUGGCUAGAGUGCGGCAGAGGGGGAUGGAAUUCCGCGUGUAGCAGUGAAAUGCGUAGAUAUGCGGAGGAACACCGAUGGCGAAGGCAAUCCCCUGGACCUGUACUGACGCUCAUGCACGAAAGCGUGGGGAGCAAACAGG
rnacentral:rRNA from 1 species